GCGCCCGUAGCUCAAUUGGAUAGAGUUCCGGACUUCGAAUCCGAAGGUUGGAGGUUCGAGUCCUCCCGGGCGUG
rnacentral:tRNA from 1 species